rnacentral:rRNA from 1 species
GACGAACGCUGGCGGCGUGCUUAACACAUGCAAGUCGUACGGUAAGGCCCUUUCGGGGGUACACGAGUGGCGAACGGGUGAGUAACACGUGAGUAACCUGCCCACAACUUUGGGAUAACGCUAGGAAACUGGUGCUAAUACUGGAUAUGUGCUCCUGCUGCAUGGUGGGGGUUGGAAAGCUCCGGCGGUUGUGGAUGGACUCGCGGCCUAUCAGCUUGUUGGUGGGGGAGUGGCCUACCAAGGCGGCGACGGGUAGCCGGCCUGAGAGGGUGACCGGCCACAUUGGGAAUGGGAUACGGCCCAGACUCCUACGGGAGGCAGCAGUGGGGAAUAUUGCACAAUGGGCGCAAGCCUGAUGCAGCAACGCCGCGGGCGGGAUGACGGCCUUCGGGUUGUAAACCGCUUUCAGCAGGGACGAAGCUUUUUGUGACGGUACCUGCAGAAGAAGCACCGGCUAACUACGUG